UCAGGCCUAACACAUGCAAGUCGAACGAAGUAGCAAUACUUAGUGGCAGACGGGUGAGUAACAUGUAGGUAUCUGCCCUUUGGCCUGGUAUAACACGAGGAAACUUGUGCUAAUACCGGAUAAGUCUUUACGGAGAAAGCUUUAUGCACCAUUGGAUGAGCCUGCACUUGAUUAGUUUGUUGGUGGGGUAAUGGCCUACCAAGACUGUGAUCAAUAGCUGAUUUGAGAGGAUGAUCAGCCACAUUGGGACUGAGACACGGCCCAAACUCCUACGGGAGGCAGCAGUGGGGAAUCUUGCACAAUGGAGGAAACUCUGAUGCAGCGAUGCCGCGUGAGUGAAGAAGGCCCUUGGGUUGUAAAGCUCUUUCGUCGGGGAAGAAAAUGACUGUACCCGAAUAAGAAGGUCCGGCUAACUUCGUGCCAGCAGCCGCGGUAAUACGAAGGGACCUAGCGUAGUUCGGAAUUACUGGGCUUAAAGAGUUCGUAGGUGGUUGAAAAAGUUGGUGGUGAAAUCCCAGAGCUUAACUCUGGAACUGCCAUCAAAACUUUUCAGCUAGAGUAUGAUAGAGGAAAGCAGAAUUUCUAGUGUAGAGGUGAAAUUCGUAGAUAUUAGAAAGAAUACCAAUUGCGAAGGCAGCUUUCUGGAUCAUUACUGACACUGAGGAACGAAAGCAUGGGUAGCGAAGAGGAUUAGAUACCC
rnacentral:rRNA from 1 species